AAAUUCCGCUUCAAAUUCUCAGGGAUUGCAGGAAAAUAAUUUUGUUGACAUUGAAGUUGAGGUGGGUGAAGGUUUUAUUGAACUUGGUGAAAUGAUCACAGAAGCAAAUCAAAAUCUUCCAUUAGAGAUGGAAGUAUUGUCGUCAAGUGUUCAAGAUCCAAUAUUUAACCUGCAUCCCGUAUUGUCGUCAAAUACGCAAGCUCCUAUAUUAAACCUUCAUUAUAAAGAGACACCAUCUGCCCAACAACUAGUGAAUUUUGAAAAAGACCCAAUAGUUGCUUUAUUAGCUUUGGCUGUAAAUUCUGGACAAAACAGAUUUUCCGCGUCAGCUAAGCUUUAUGGGUCUACUCCGGAAGAAGAAAGAUAUUUACUUGAAGAACUGAAACGUGAAGUUGAAGGGAAUUUUGACAUUCGUAAUCGCGGUAGAAUCGUCGAUUAAUUUCAGUAGUGUUUUGACAAAGACUCCCUUCUUUUGGGCUGUGCUUGCUGCGGAAUUAGAGCUUUCCAAAUGAACAAAGUGCUCUACCAUCCAGUUCCUGUCGCUGAAUUAGAUUUGCUUAAAUUAAACGAAGAACGUCAAUUGUUGUUUUACGCAAUACCCCACCCAUAUCAGCUAUGUGUUAGCGUAUACCUUUCGAGUUCAGGUAAACUUUAUCAUCUUCAUCCUGAACUGGUAAAAGACGGUAUUGCUUCACUUUGUUCUACUUGCCACCGAAAUAUCAAAAGUAGUAAACCGAAAAUUCCAAAACUCUGUAUCGCUGCUGGUAUUGACUUUGGUCAUCCUGGUCGAUUAGGACUUCCGCAGUUAACUCUCUCAGAAUAACUUCUUAUUUGCCGCAGUCGUCAAUAUGUCUCAAUUUUGAAACUUGUCGGAUAUAAUGCUUCCGAACGACAAAAAGCAAAAAAAGGUUACGUGAUUACGUACCCCCAACCAGAUGGCACUACAAAAUUGGCGGAACUUCAGAGAUUGAAUUCAAAUUUUGAUGGAGGAGAGUAUCCUCGAACGGAAAAUUUCGGUGAAUUUCUCUCGAUUUGUUUUAUCGGUUCUCGACUACAAUUCGACUCUUUAAUUCCAACUUGUUUCGGAGACGUCAAUGAACUGUGCGUCCUAGUCGAUGUUGUCUAUCUUUGGCUUCAUGCUCUUAAACAUCUCAACCCUUUAUAUCGCAAUGCUUCUAUCAUUGAAACAGAAGCAAUGCAUAUGAAGAUGCAAAAUAUUUUGAAGGAUCAUCUGAUGUGCCAACAGAUGAAAUUCAAGAUUCUGAUAAAAAUCCAGACAUGCCAAUGCCCGUUUCUCUCCUAACUCGUAGUAUGCCUGUAACUACGGACCAAACACAAUCUGUUAGGAUAGCUUUAAGGGGUCUUUUAGAAACCUUAGAUACAUCUGCAAACGUUAAUGUUCUAAAUUCGUCCCAUGGAGAACCCCUAAAUUCCGAAAACGUGAAUGAAGAGAUUGACCAACAUAUAAGCCAG